UACGGAGGAUCCAAGCGUUAUCCGGAUUUAUUGGGUUUAAAGGGUGCGUAGGCGGCCUGUUAAGUCAGGGGUGAAAGACGGUAGCUCAACUAUCGCAGUGCCCUUGAUACUGAUGGGCUUGAAUACACUAGAGGUAGGCGGAAUGUGACAAGUAGCGGUGAAAUGCAUAGAUAUGUCACAGAACACCGAUUGCGAAGGCAGCCUUACUAUGGUGUCAUUGACGCUGAGGCACGAAAGCGUGGGGAUCAAACAGG
rnacentral:rRNA from 1 species